rnacentral:rRNA from 1 species
UUAUCUCUGUAGAGUCUGCAUAUCAAUAAGCGGAGGAAAAGAAACUAACAAGGAUUCCCUUAGUAACGGCGAGUGAAGCGGGAAGAGCUCAAAUUUGAAAUCUUCAAGGUUCUACCUUGACGAAUUGUAGUUUAUAGAAGUGUUUUCUGUUAGUAGAGUGGCAAAAGUUCUUUGGAAUAGGACAUUAUAGAGGGUGAGAAUCCCGUAUUUGGUCAUUCUUUCUAGCUUUGUGAUACACUUUCAACGAGUCGGAUUGUUUGGGAAUGCAGUCCAAAAUGGGUGGUAAAUUUCAUCUAAAGCUAAAUAUUGGCGAGAGACCGAUAGCGAACAAGUACCGUGAGGGAAAGAUGAAAAGAACUUUGAAAAGAGAGUUAAACAGUACGUGAAAUUGUCAAAAGGGAAGCGUUUGACACCAGUGUUGUUUUUCCGAAAAUCAAUUACGAAUGUUUUGUUUUUGAGAAGUUAUGACUUCAUCGGCUUGCUUCUUUCUUUACGAAACUUUCUUAAUGCACUUUUCGGUUAACAAGUCAACAUCAAUUUCUUUUGUUGUAAAAGGGUACGAGGAAGGUGGCUUUCUUUUCGGAGAAAGUGUUUAUAGCCUUGUGCUCUCUGCAAUCGGAGAGACUUGAGGUCUGCAGCGUAGACUCUUCGGGGUUAGAUACAUUUGUGCUAAGUUAAUAGCUUUUUCAUAGACAACUUGUUGACUAUAUUUAGUCUUGUAGCUUACUCGCUUAUGCUAUUUUACCUACGCUUAGGAUGUUGACGCAUGAGAUAUACGC